CUGUACAAACCAGUCAAUGCUGAGGUGCAGAAGGUGACCUUAACUUCACAGCAGGAAAAAGAGAAAGUGAGGGAAAGAGAUAGAGAAGCAUGAUGGCUGAAUUCGGAUGGAUUAAAAUAUCUUUUUUACUGACACCAGUGCUUCAGAUUACAGCAGUAACUGGACAAAGUUCAGACUCGUUGAUUGUCAGAGCUGGAGAUGACGUCACUUUGCCUUGUGAAAAUGUGAUAAAUGAUCACCAUAGCUGUGUCAGUACAACAUGGAUCUUCAGUGGUUCCAGAAACACAGUAACACUGUUUGAAAAUGGGCAGAUUCACAAAGAUGCCAUGGCUAAAUCAGACAGACUGAGUGUUACAGCGAACUGUUUUCUGGUUAUAAAGAAGGUCACAGUCGAGGAUGUUGGUCGUUACGUCUGCAGGCAGUUUAUAUCAGGACAACAACAAGAUCCAGACUCUCUGGUUGAUUUGUCUGUUAUUACCAUGACUGAACAUAAAGACUCUGAUAAGGUGACAUUAAGCUGCUCUCUGUCGACAUAUGGACCAUGUACAUACACAGUGAAGUGGCUGAAUGAGGAUAAAGAUGUGGAUAAUGAUAACCAAGACUUGAAGACAUCACAGCGCACCUGCUUUGCCAAUGUGACCUUUGGCACUGCAAAGAAUUACAAGUUAGCGAAGUGUAAUGUGAAAGAUAGUUACACUGGAGAGGAACUGCAGUUUACCUUCAGCCGUCUGUCCGCAGAUUGGUGGUGGUACAUCCUUGUUGCUGUGGGUCUAGCAGCACUCUUGAUAAUUGUUGUUGCGGCUGUGAGUUGGAGAUAUAAAGCAAACAAAACACAGAUGGAUGACAACAUUGCAUUGACUUCAGAUCCUGCAGUGACUCAGACCGCUCCAAAAACCAGUCAAGCCGCAGCUGAUCCUGAAGAUGGUGUUUCCUAUGCCUCCAUCAGCUUCACCAAGAAGACCAACAGUAAAGCCCGGGUUCUGGGUGGUGAUGAGGCAGUGACCUACAGCACUGUGAGGGCGCCCUCCUCGUCUGCUGGAGCCUCCGCUGACCCCAACAGCCUCUAUGCUACCAUCAACUAACCUAGACAUAGAGUUAUUAUUUUACAUGAAUUCUUCAUCGUAAAAUCAUGUCAAUGUUUAUUGAAAAAGUGACUAUGGAUUGACUGUGUUGAUUCUUGUGGAGAAAUUGUCGAUGAAAUCCAAAUGUUAGACAGUAUUUUAUGUUUAAUCCUCAUUUUGUGUAAUUCAUUGCUAUUUUCUUGUAUUAUAAUGUUGAAAUUUUGUUUUUAGCACAACCAGGUGUUCCCCUUUCUUUCCCUUGUUGCUGUAAAAAGCUUUUUGUCCAGAAGGGGAAGAUUUAAGUUAAGGUACUACAAUUUAAAAGUAAUAGCCCAACAUGCAUAUGGCUGAUUGCAACAUAAAUAUGAUACAUUUCGCUUAGUGAACUUUCUGUCAUUAUUGUAUUUUUAUCUUUUUAAAGCAUGUUUCAGUUUAUUACAACUACAAUAUUUAACAUACAUACAUACAUACAUAUAUAUGUAUAGAUGUAUAGAUGUAUAUAUAUAUAUAUAUAUAUAUGUAUAUACAUCUAUCAUGAGACAAGUUUAGAAAUUACUUGUCACAUGAGUCAA
rnacentral:lncRNA from 1 species